AGCCGCUCGGUCUGUUGACAUGCCUAAUACAUUGCAAAGUCGAGCGAAUGGAUUAAGAAGCUUGCUCUUAUGAAGUUAGCGGCAGAGACUGGGUUGAGUAACACGUUGGGUAACCUAGCCCAUAAUGACUAGGGAUAACUCCAGUAGAGAAACCUGAGGGCUAAUAACCUGNGAAUAACAUAUUAUAGCACUUAGCAUAGAGUAGCAAGAAA
rnacentral:rRNA from 1 species